CUUUUUCUUGCUUUCUUGCUCUCUCUUGCACUCUUGCUCUCUUGCUCUCUGGCUCCUGAAGAUGUAAGCAAUAAAGCUUUGCCGCAGAAGAUUCCGGUUUGUUGCGUUCUUCCUGGCCGGUCGCGUGAACGCGGGUAAGAGUUGGUGCCGAAACGCAGGGAAGGCUGUGACAGGAUCCUGUCUGUGGAAGCUGGAGGAGGCUUGCUCACAACUUUGCAGAGCAUGAAGCCAGGAGAGACGAAGAGAGGCAGUGACGACUCUUCCUUCCCCUUCUUGAUGAGUCCCAGAUCCCAGGUCAUCAGUUGGUGCCCUCGACAUUCAAGGUGGAAGCUGAGUCACCCAAGUUGUCCGUGAGUGUUUGGCACUCUUUUGAGGUCUGUCCCACUCAUCCUGUUUCCAUCUGAAGAAAUGAAGCUGGUGACAGAUAUAGGCAGGUCUGAGAGAUGACAGAGUAGAAUGCAUCUUCUCAUGGAGUUCAAUGUCUCUCCCUGCCAGAGUAUGCCAUAAAAGCUGAGAGUCCUUCUCAGAGUUAAGCUGUGAAGACUCUCAGACAAGCCAAGCUGCAAAGAAGACUGAGACAAGACCAGCUGCCUGGGAGAAGGAGAAACCAAACUUCCUGGAAGAGGUUUAGGCCAACUUAGGCACCUGGAAAGAACUCCCUCCAACCAAUUGAGAUGCUUAUAGGCUGUGUAGUAAGCUGUAUGGUGUGCUCCAGGUUCCCAGCUUUGUGAGCUGUCACCUGUGCUGGGGUGGGCUUUGGUGAUGUAGCUGUCCUUGAGUCACUUCUACUUGUCCAUCUUCCUGUAAGUAACCCCAAUAAAACUCAUGGUUCACC
rnacentral:lncRNA from 1 species